CCCCGCCUCUUCUACAAAUCAUCCCUCGAUAAGGAAGCAGCGGCGAUUGCAAUCUUCUCCUCCACCACCUGCAGGCUAUUCCCGGACAGAAGGUGGUAGCGGCGCUUGUGCUGCGCCGCGAGCGACCUCGUCCACCACCGCCUACACGCCACUCUGAACGGCCAUCGCCUCAGAUUUGAUUUCGUCGGAUCUUUUGAUGUAGGUCGAUGAGAACGCCGCAACUAUUCGACCGCGGCCGACGUGACUCCAAUCACAGAAUCAACGGCACGUUUAACGUUGAUGAUGACGAGCUCGGUACACACGGAACAGAUUGAGCGGAGAAGGGCAUUCGGAAGAGGGCUCUGAAGAAUCACGAUCCCUAGCGCAACAAGCUUUUUCCUUGUUUAGAGCCGAGUUUUCUGUUCCAAAAUAUCAAUUCAGAGAAAUCGGGGUACCUUCAACCAUCUCCAUCUUUAAAGAAUCCAAAGCAGAGCUCUCCAAGAGAGUUUUGUGGUGCCACAGAUUCACAUUGCAUUGUCAAGUGCAUGUUUUUGGUUGUCAAGCUCAUGGAUUCAAAAGCAAGUGGAUUCUUAAACUACUCGGGAAGGCAGAAAAGGCAACUCAAGGCAGACGAUAAAUCAAUAUCUACGAAUGAAUUGGUACGGAGUGUAGCGGCUGUUCUCGAGAAGACAGAUAAGUGGGAUGUGUUGCUUAACGAGCUCUGUGCUGCUUCUGCCUCUGGAAUCACCCCCUCGGUUGCUGUUCAAAGUCCUCAAGGGCAUCAAGAAACCUGACAUAGCCUUCAAGUGUUUUGCAUGGUUAGACAACCUUCAAGGUUUCGAGCAUGACAGUCUGACCUGACCUACUCGGCUACUCUUGUGGUUUUGACGACAGACUGUAUCCCUUUUGCAUGCUUCAAUCGCCGACUCUUUGCUUCGUAAAAUGAUACAUCUCCGCUUUGAUGUCACACCGGCAGAUUAUGAUUAUGUUCUGCACCAGUGGGCUCGUGUUGGGAGAUCCGAUAAAGGUCUGUCUUUGUUGAAUGAGUUGAUUGAUCGCGGAUUUAAUCCUUCAGUAACUUCUUGUAGUAUCCUUCUGGAGAAGUUGGUUCGAUCAAGAGAAGAGGAAUCCGGUAGGCUGUUGUUCCAUCAAAUACUUGAUAGAAGAGUUGAUGCUUUGGAUACCGAAACCUUCAAUGUUAUGAUGAAAACAAGGGAGGCCUUUUCUCUAGGAUGAAAGUGGAAGACUGUGUACCUGAUUUGGACACUUUUAAUAUCUUGAUCAAAGGUUCCUGCGAGAAAGGAGACAUGAAAAUGGUCUGCUAUCUGUUCAAUCAUAUGCUUGAUAUCAUCAAGGUAAAGCCAGAGAGCUAUACUAUAAAUCUCUUGAUCAAAGAGUUGUGCAAGCAAGAGAGGCCUGCUUGCGCAAAUUCUCUGUUCAAUCACAUGAGGGUGGGUUGGUCGGAUAGGAAGUUCAUGUAUAGCUCACAACUUGUGGAGUCUCUUUGUGAAUAUGGUUGGUGGUUAAAAGCUUUGAAGAUCUUCAUAAAAAUGGUUCCAAGAGGGCAUCAUCCAAAUAUCAGUCAUUACGAUAAUCUGAUGCAGCGCCUACGCAUGGAAGCAUUUAAAUUAAAGGAUUUCAUGUUAAAAAAGGCAUUUUUGCCUGAGAUAAAGAUAUACAAUGGAUUGAUAGAUGGAUUGUGUCUGAUUGGCAGAAUGGAAAUGGUUGACAAGCUAUAGUUGGAGCUUCAUGACAAGCAAAUACAACUUAAUCAGGAAACUUGUAAUAUGAUUCUCCGCCGGCAUUGUUUGUCGAGGAAUGCGACAACAAAAUUAGAUUGGACACAAAAGAUAAAAGAUGAGGGUUGGGAACCUGAUCUUGAGGCAUGUAAUUCUUUAUUCACCCAUCUUUCAGCGGAAGGUAAAGUUGAUGAAACAUUGGAACUCAAGUAUCAUAUCUCAACAAAGGACUGAUACCAACUUCUUUGAACACCACGAAUCUUGAGCUCAAUCAAUGUUGUAUGUAUGAGAUCGUAAAUGCUGGAUGCUGCUGCAUUAUAUAUACACACCGAGGGAAGCAAUUUUGUAACCAGCACAAGUCUACUAUGGAAAAAAUUGAUCCUAUGGUUGAUCCUCUUUGCAAUGAAGAUACUAUUUGGGAGCUUAAUGGUCUGUUAAUAAACUCAGAAUAUCUGGUUUUAAAUUGUAUGAGGAUGUUAAAUUAGAGUCCCAAGGAUAUGGAUAAGCAAUAUAUUUUGAAUGACAUUGUCACCUAAUAAGAAGGUUCAAGUGUCUUCCAUGUAAACUAUACAGGAAAGAGACAUUUGUCCUUGUUCUUUUAAAGAAAAUGAAAAAAUAUCAUUAAUUGCUAAGUGUUUUCUGUUUACUUGAUUGUGGAUGAUGGAUAUCUUCUUUAAUCUUGACUCCCAUCUAUGCAUGUAUCACUGUUUAAAAGCUAAUAUGUUUUCAUAGAAAUCUAACAUUUGUUAUAACAUUGUCAGUUGCAUUGAUAAAAUUCAUAACACCACAAAAUGAUAGGUAAAAAGACAAUUUCAACUAUUAAUUUAAAAUAUUUAAUAUGAAGUUAACAGUAAUACUCCAUGAGACUUAAAGUUAAAGUUAACAAUAAUAAAUCAAUCAAGUUAUAUAAAUCAAUCUUAAUCAUGCAAAGUGAACCGAGAUAAUACAAUUUGAACUACCAACAACGUGCACAUUAGGAUCUCAUAAAGGGAAACAAUGUGGCAGUAGUCAAUCAAACAAUUGUAAUAAAUUAUAUCGUGUGCCGCAGAAUUCUAGCAGUCAAUAUUUAUCAUGUAACAAGUAUAAUAAUAGAUCACCUCCAUCAAAAUGGGAUCCACUCAAAAAAAAAAAAAGUAGAUGCACGACAGUUAAAUGUCUCCAGAUACUAAAUUACCACAAUUUUAUAUGCAGGUAAAGUCUUUCCAUGCCUAAGCUAUGAAUACAAAUAAUUAACAUAAAAGAAAA